GGAAAACAAACCUCCAUAUCCCACAGGCUUCUCGGUGCUGUGCAAAACACAAACAAGGAAAGCUUUUGAUGUCGGGGAAGUUGGGAGCUCAGCAGCCCCGUUUGCACAGCUUUGAAGGACCCAAGGCAGAGCAGGCCCUGAGUCUCUGUGGAAGUGUUUUUCCACCAUCUGGGCACUUUUCCAGCUGGGAUUAAGGUUUCUCUGGAGCUCAGCACAUCCAUGCUGGCACUGGUCUCCUGCAGGAUGCAGGGGUCCCUUUCUGCAGGAAUCUCAGGGCACUCCUGGAAAGCUGUCCCAGCAGGAAUGACCUGUCCUGGAGCCACAGGAAAUCUCCUGCAGCAAACCCAGCCCUGGAAGCAUCUGAUGAGCACCACGGUGGGAGAAAUCCCUCUGCCUUGGCAUUUCACCCCGGGAAUUUACAUGGGUUUACCUAUGGGAUAAUUCCCUUUUUUCCCUUCCCUCUGUGGGGUGCAGAGCUUGGUGCUUUCAGCUUGGGAGCAGCUCUAUUUUGAGGGCUCAAAAACCAGUUAAUCCCUUCCCUGGCGUGCACCAA